AUUUUCACUUAAUAGACAAUUCUUAACCAGCCUUUUGGCUCCAGUUUCUUAAGGAUGGCCCUCUAUCUGAUCGCAGCUAUAAAACUAAGGACUCUUUUAUACGAAGAAAGCAGAGAAUUUGAUAUUAAAUUGUGAGAUUGAAAAGCACCACUUUUAGCAGCCAGUUUAUAAGGCAGCUAGGAACAUCCUAAAAUGCCUGCUGGUCACAGUUCCCUUCUGAGCAAAGCAGCUAUAUGGUCUCUACGCAUAAGUCUGCUUUCUUCAAACACAGGAUCCACUCCAUUGUGACUAGGUUGAUAAAGCACGGUGAUUGUGUGUAUGAAACUACUCUGCUCACUUUUCUCAAUAAGGAGCAGUCCCAGGAAGGUGCUUUAAAUCUUCGUGGAUCAUUGAGCUGGGCCGGAACACAAAGGGCUGGUCAAGGUUCAAAGAUUAGGCAGAAUUUCUCUCCAACAAGAUUCAAGCUUGCUUUCACUUUGCAUCACCGGAACAAACAAGCAGAGCAAAGGCUCCCCUACCCGGGAGGACUGAUGGGAGACAGCUGUGGUUCCUCUUGCUCUUACUUUCUCAAAAAGGUGCACCAGGGUUCGGAGCCUCAAUCGAGCAGAAACAAGUAUCUGGCAAUACACAUAGGAAAUUUCAUUUAAUAAGGACUGUAUGUGGAAAUCGACUCCCAAGAGAGAAGACAGCUGUGAGCUGGGAAUGGUCAGGAAAGUCAAGAGUAACUCCUCACAGAAAAACAAAUGGAUGAAUGAAUAACUGAGAUGAAGCCUGGAAACAAUUAUCUAAUAAACUUCCUUUUUUAAUUGCGUCCUGUGAUGUUUGAGACACUCUGAGAGGUGCUGAAGAAUGCACAGAGUAUCAUAUACUUUCUCUGACCUCAGGAACAAAGCUUUUUUUAAAAAAGAAAGCAGCAGUGAUUUGCUGUUCUAGGUUAAUAAUUGAUAGCAUUUUGCUGAGUUUAAAAGUGCCCUGAAGUAGGGCUCUGAAGACAAGUCAACCACACACCAGCUGGAUGACCUACGACUCAACACCGCCCAGGCAUUUACUUAUUAGCAAAGUGGGUC
rnacentral:lncRNA from 1 species